rnacentral:rRNA from 1 species
GUGGGGAAUAUUGGACAAUGGGCGAAAGCCUGAUCCAGCCAUGCCGCGUGAGUGAUGAAGGCCCUAGGGUUGUAAAGCUCUUUCACCGGGGAAGAUAAUGACGGUACCCGGAGAAGAAGCCCCGGCUAACUUCGUGCCAGCAGCCGCGGUAAUACGAAGGGGGCUAGCGUUGUUCGGAAUUACUGGGCGUAAAGCGCACGUAGGCGGAUCAGUCAGUUAGGGGUGAAAUCCCAGGGCUCAACCCUGGAACUGCCUUUAAUACUGCUGAUCUAGAGUUCGAGAGAGGUGAGUGGAAUUCCGAGUGUAGAGGUGAAAUUCGUAGAUAUUCGGAGGAACACCAGUGGCGAAGGCGGCUCACUGGCUCGAUACUGACGCUGAGGUGCGAAAGCGUGGGGAGCAAACAGGAUUAGAAACCCCGGUAGUCC